GUUGUGUGUUGCUUAGACACUCUGAACAUCUCAGGUCCUUAGCUAUAGCUUCUGACCUAAUUUGUACUGGUUUCUGUGUAUUGUCACAGUCAGGGUUUUUCCUAUGCUGAACUUAGAUUCAGUAGUAUGGGAGUUUUGUAACUUUUGUGGAGGAUCUGCUGAUGGUCCCUACUUAGUGUCGUUAUGUUAUCUCCUUGAUCCUGAUUGUGUCACAGUCGCUUGUUAUAUGGCUAUUGGGCUUAGCAUUCUUUUCAUUGUUCAAGCAGACUGUUCUGGUUGCCAGUCGGUCAAGAAGUUAGUUUAUGUGAGGACUUUGUCAGUCACUUGUUUAAGUCUAGUCGAGUCGUGAGACAUAGAAAAUGUACAGAGAACUUUCACGGCGCGCAUAACGGAGAUAAAACACCUCAAUUACUGGGAGCGCUUGAGGUUCCUAAACCUGUAUUCCCUGGAACGCAGGAGGGAGAGAUACAUGAUUAUAUACACCUGGAAAAUCCUAGAGGGACUAGUACCGAACUUGCACACGAAAAUCACUCACUACGAAAGCAAAAGACUUGGCAGACGAUACACCAUCCCCCCAAUGAAAAGCAGGGGUGUCACUAGCACGUUAAGAGACAAUACAAUAAGUGUCAGGGGCCCGAGACUGUUCAACUGCCUCCCAGCACACAUAAGGGGGAUUACCAACAGACCCCUGGCAGUCUUCAAGCUGGCACUGGACAAGCACCUAAAGUCAGUUCCUGAUCAGCCGGGCUGUGGCUCGUACGUUGGUUUGCGUGCAGCCAGCAGCAACAGCCUGGUUGAUCAGGCUCUGAUCCACCAGGAGGCCUGGUCACGGACCGGGCCGCGGGGGCGUUGACUCCCGGAACUCUCUCCAGGUAAACUCCAGGUAAACUUAGAGCACUUACACACAUGUUGUUAGGUAAGACACAAAUGCAACAGUUAGACAACUUUAUUCCGAAACGUUUCGCCUACACAGUAGGCUUCUUCAGUCGAAUACAGAAAGUAGGCAGGAACAGUAGAGAUGUGAAGACGAUGUAAUCAGUCCAUCACUUACCUAACAACCUGUCGGUAUUGUAUACCAUUUUGAUGUUCACUUACACACAUACACACUUACUUGUACAUAUUUGUAAUAUCUUAUUAAAUGUUAAUGUACCAGACGGUACUUAAGAAUUAUAAAUGUGAUAUGUGCUUUCAGCACAAUAAUAUUGAACUCGAGAGAUUGAUAUUAUUUUGAUUACUGUGAUUAAUUUAAUUUAAUUUAAUUUGAUAAUAUACCUCUAGACUUAAUAAAUUUAUUAAAUUUUAAUUUCUCUAGUUAGUAGCCUACCAGUUGUAAUCCUGAAGCACUAUUGAAUAAUACUGAAUUUUAAUGGAUAAUUGGACAAGGAUACUGACUACUUGUUACGAAAACCCAGUAACAGGCUGGAUGCUAGAAGGGCAGUCCUUUCUAGUAUUCACUGGAGAUCUCUAAGCUUUUAGAAUCGCGUUUUUUGUAACAGCCAAUCCCUCAGUUCUUAGAAGUUUUCCGUUAAAUAACUCAAAUCAAGGCUAAAGGACUGAUCACCUCAUCUUUGCCUCUCCACUGCUUCUGCUGUCUCCAAUAUUUAGUCACUUUUGUGUUCGCCUGAAGAAGCCUGCAGAGCAGGCGAAACCGUACGACAAUAAAGACAAUUGUCGCACAUAUGUUUUAUUCAUCUACUUGACUGUAUUGUACGUCAUUUGAAUAAUGAUGUCUGUGCUCUUCAGGAAAGGCAGCUGCAGAAAGAAUGACGGUGAAUAUAAUUCUUUCUUUGCGUUGCCCUAAUUUAAUGGGAAGCAGCCAAAUACAGUGGAACCUCGGUGUUUGAACUUAAGUGUUUCUAGGUGGUGUUCACUGCGAAAAUCUCAAUGUCGGAAACAGUAUUUGCCACGCUUAACUAUCAGCCUCACACACUGAAGGCAGGGCCGGAUUACCGCAUAGGCAAACUAGACAUUUGCCUAGGGCCCCGCGCAUUUGGGGGCCCCGCGCAUUUGGGGGCCCCGCGGUCCAAGGGGUUCAGGCGCUCAUCCAAGACUGCGCACAUGGUGCAAGUGCAAAGGGGUCCCUACCUAAAAAGUUCAAGUGUUUGGAGAGUAAAAUUGAUUUUUAAAAAUUAAUCAAAACAAAAAUAAAUAAUGAAAUAAAAUAAAAUAAAAAUAAAUAAACCUAACCAUAGAUGGCAACACUCAACACGCCUUUGUUUACAUCAGAACAGCUGUGUUUUCCCGCUAAUGGGUGAGUAUGGGAGAUUCCUCUCCAAUUUUCUGUAGUAAUUACACGUUAUCUAGACUUGUACUGUGACAAAUUAACUGAAGUGUUGUUGAUAGACAUUGAUGUGUAUGGAUAAAUGUUUGUUUUCGCCUCUAAAUGUUAAGGGAGGUACCUGAUAGGGUUACUUGACCAGUAAAGAUGCAUGGACCAGUAAAGACGCAUUUUUGGUAAAAAUACUAUAAAGAAAAACCUAAAAACGCAAACUGACUUCCGUUUGUAGGUUUUAAAAACACUUUGUCCUGUCUUUAAGUCUUUAUCAUUUCAAUAACAGAUCUCAAUUGAUUGAUGUUCUACAUCACUUCCGUCGCAAAUGCUUAGUUUUCAAGUUGCGACGGAAGUGAUGUAGAACAUCAAUUAAUUUACUACAUAUUUCCCCAGAAACACAUAAGCCACGUCUUGAGUUUAUUCUCUUUAAAAUGCAUGAUUUAACAAGAUAGUUAUAAUGGCUGUUGGUAAAUGGUUUUGGUUGUCUUGAUGUACUUUCCCUAUUAAAUUUAAUCUAAAUGGCCAGAAUGUAUUUAAUUAGACUUUAAACAGGCUCACACCGACCCCAACCCACCCCCAAGCUCCCCACCCCCAAGCUGGAAGGGGUCGCUUCGCUUACCGGUAACUCAAAGGGGCCCCGCCAAUCUGAAUAGCCUAGGGCCCGGAGACUUCUUAAUCUGGCCCUGGAUGAAGGAUGUUGAACCGACUCUUCCAAAAGUCUCUGAGAGUUAGAUCAGUGUCAGAGGUCACUUCGAAGCAAUUUUGAAACAAGGUUUUCGUGUAAAGUUUUUUAUAACUGCAUUUUAAACAAGCCCACGCGUUCGGACUCCAGGAAAACAUUCUAAGGCCGGGUUAAUUUUUUCUGAACAAAACUAUUCGAACUCAAGUUCAUUCGAGGUGCAGCACAUUCGAACACCGAAGUUCUACUGUACUGAAAAAGAAAAUUAUUAAAGUAAAUUCUAUGCGAGUUAAACACCUUUCGGAAAUAGCGACUAAUAUGUACAUUAUGAGUUGUGGAGGCUAUGACUAUGGUCCCCCUCAAGGAAGGUUCCUUGAUGUUGGUGAGGGGCUCUUGAUUUAGGGAAUUGGAUCUGUGCUCCAGUUCCCCAAAUUAAGCCUGAAUGCCUUCCACAUCCCCCCCCAGGCGCUGUAUAAUCCUCCGGGUUUAGCGCUUCCCCCUUGAUUGUAAUAAUAAUAAUAUGACUAUGGUCGACACGGUGGUGGACGCUACCAUGGCUUCACUGAUGUCCUCGGGUAAGUUAAAGUGAAGGAGCAAUUACUAAUAAAAUUCUUUAUGAAUCUGAGAAUAGUAACCGUCUUAUAAAUGAAUAAGUCACGAUAAAGGGGCUGUAAUAUUUCACAAAUAACCCACACUGGAAGAAACUAGAGAAGUUUCGGCCCAUCCUGGAGCAUUAUCAAGUGACAAGUGAGCGAGUAAAUAAGACUGGAAGAUAGGUCUGGAAGAGAGAGGGGAAAGAAAGUUACAACACAGGUCAGGUGAGGAAAAGAUAUCUUCAGCAGUAGUAGUAGUGGUAGUUACAGCAGUAGCGGUAGUGGUAGUAGUAGCAGCAGCAAUAUAUUAGUAGUAGUAGUAGUAGCAUCAGCAGCAGCACCACCACCAGUAGUAGUAGUAACUGAAAUCAGCAGUGAGUUGACCAUCUUGUUUUAUAAUACGCUGGGUGCUCUGAAGGAUGGGGUUGGAGGCUUUACCUUGUAAUAUCAUAUGAAUUAUGAGGUGUGUGCACUUGCGGAGACAGCUGCAGAAUGAGUGAAUGAAUGUGAUUCCUUCUUUGGGUUGCCCUAAUUUAAUAGGAAAUGGAAGAAUACUUUAACUCACAGAAUAUUUUCCGUGAGUUAAACAUCUUUCGGGAGUGUGACUAUAGUGACUAACAUGUAUGAGUGUAGCAGCUUCAGUGGUCGUGGCACUGGCUGGAACGACACCCGAGCACAACCACAUCUACAAGCAUCGUCCAUUGACGCCGUCCCUGAUGGACGUUUAAAUGUCUUCAUAAAAUUAUUCUCUGAUCAACAUUCAUCAGUAACAGACAAAUAAAAUAUGUGUUUUUCAUUGUUCGUUAAAUAUUCUUUCAUUAUAUAAUUGGACCUGCCUGGUAUAGGCCAGUAGGCCUAACGGAAUACUCAUUUACUCUCAAGUUCUUAAAUUUGUCUUAUAAAUUAGCCAUGACACAUAAAUACAGUUAAUAUAAUCAAGUAAGUGUAUAAUAAUAAAGCUAAGUCAUACCGAAUGAAAACCACUGGACCUUAAACUGAUUAGAAAGUAUAAUGUAUUGAUGAUUAACAAACAUGUGCAACAGUUAUUGUUGAAAAGUUUCGCUGACACAAUAGGCUUCUCCAGUCAAAUAUAGAGGCAACAGGUGUAGCCGUGAAAUGAAGACGAUGUAAUCAGUCCAUCAACCUUGUAGAAAUAGUAUUUGAGGUGGUUAGUCCCUCAGCCUGGAGAAAAGUUCAGCUCCAUGGAGCUGAGGUAAGUUUAGUCGGAAUAAGUGCAAGUUAUAUAAUUCACGAAGGAAGCGAAACUCGGAGACGGAGCAAACAACGAGAAAACGAAAAGGAUUUGGAGUAAAUAUUUUUGCCUCAUACACAGAAUAAGCAACAUCCUAACACACUGGGCAAGAGAGUCGUAGAGUCGAAAAUACCCGGAGGUCAACUAUGGUACAUGAUCUUAGGUCAUGCCUGUAUUCCCCAUUUCAUGAAGAAAAUAUUAUCAUUAAACUGUUCCCAACAAAACAACUUUGAAAAAUACAAAAAAAAAACAAAACAAUUUUCCAUUAAAGCAUAAGUUGAGUUUAAUUAACUGUGCUCCAUAAAAUAGAAUUGCUAAGUAGCGUAACGUCACGAGAGGAUGUUGACGUGGAAGGAGAAGCAAAGGUAUAUAAAUAGUGGAGGAAUACCCAGACUAGCAUCAGUAGGUUCCCCUGACGCUGAAGAACUAAAAGGUACCUGUAGUCACCAUGAACUAUCUCCGAGUCUUGAUGAUCGUAGUGGUCAUGAUGGCUGCCGUGGGCGUGGCUAUGGCCUAUCCAGAGCCUGUUACUCCAGUGUUCCACCGUGGGUUUGGUGGUGGCAGAUUUACCGGUCGUGGUGGCUAAAAUGGGUAGAGAGGAGAAGUUGGGACGACGGCUGCACAGACGAACACCUAAACGACACCUGACUCUGAGAACUACCACAAUGAAGAGUGUCGUCCAGUCACGCUAGUUCUGAUAGCCAACACUUAAAGCUCUGCAAUGAAGUCUUCCUUGACCAACUCUUUAUGCAUAAUAAAUAUAUAUAAACAAACAAAAAUCAA